UUUGCCUACGGGACGCAGCAGUGGGGGAUAUUGCACAAUGGGGGGAACCCUGAUGCAGCGACGCCGCGUGGGCGAUGGAGCGCCUCGGCGCGUAAAGCCCUAUCAGCAGGGAAGAAGAUGACGGUACCUGACUAAGAAGCCCCGGCUAAAUACGUGCCAGCAGCCGCGGUAAUACGUAUGGGGCAAGCGUUAUCCGGAUUUACUGGGUGUAAAGGGGGCGCAGACGACAAUGCAAGCCAGGAGUGAAAGCCCGGGGCCCAACCCCGGGACUGCUCUUGGAACUGCAUGGCUGGAGUACAGGAGGG
rnacentral:rRNA from 1 species